AUUGAACGCUGGCGGCAUGCCUUACACAUGCCAGUCGAACGGUAACGGGCCUUCGGGUGCCGACGAGUGGCGAACGGGUGAGUAGUACAUCGGAACGUGCCCGAUCGUGGGGGAUAACGAGGCGAAAGCUUUGCUAAUACCGCAUACGAUCUACGGAUGAAAGCAGGGGACCGCAAGGCCUUGCGCGGACGGAGCGGCCGAUGGCAGAUUAGGUAGUUGGUGGGAUAAAAGCUUACCAAGCCGACGAUCUGUAGCUGGUCUGAGAGGAUGAUCAGCCACACUGGGACUGAGACACGGCCCAGACUCCUACGGGAGGCAGCAGUGGGGAAUUUUGGACAAUGGGCGCAAGCCUGAUCCAGCCAUGCCGCGUGCAGGAUGAAGGCCUUCGGGUUGUAAACUGCUUUUGUACGGAACGAAAAGCCUUCUUUUAAUACAGGAGGGUCAUGACGGUACCGUAAGAAUAAGCACCGGCUAACUACGUG
rnacentral:rRNA from 1 species